rnacentral:rRNA from 1 species
GAGUUUGAUCGUGGCUCAGAACGAACGCUGGCGGCACGCUUCAUACAUGCAAGUCGCGCGAUUAAACCCCUUUCGGGGGAUAUAAAGCGGCGAACGGGUGAGUAACAGGUGGAUAAUCUGCCUUUCGGUAGGGGAUACCGGCUGGAAACGGCCGUUAAUACCGUAUGUGGUUGCAUUCUCGCGGGAGUGCAAAAAAAGGCGCUGCAAGGCGCCGCCGAGAGAUGAGUCCGCCCCCAUUAGCUAGUUGGCGGGAUAAUAGCCCACCAAGGCUCCGAUGGGUAGCCGAGCUGAGAGGUUGAUCGGCCACACUGGGACUGAGACACGGCCCAGACACCUACGGGUGGCAGCAGUAGGGAAUAUUGGACAAUGGGCGCAAGCCUGAUCCAGCGAUGCCGCGUGAGUGAUGAAGGCCUU